CAGGGAAGGAGAAGAGAGAGAGACUAGAGGGAAAGAGAGAGGGAAGGAGAAGAGAGAGAGACUGAUGUAGCAGAGUGAGAAGUAAAAGGUUCCUUUAAUACGAGACUGAAUAGAUCUGAGUACACAGCCCUGAAGGACACACUGUUAGAGGAGAGAAAGAGAGGGGGAUGAGGAGAGAUGCAGAGAGUUGAAAGAGGGGCAGAGAGGAGGAGAACAAAUUCCAAUGGUCCUUACUUUCUCUGUUCCUACUGUGACUGAUUCAAUCUGUAUCUCCUCCUCUCCAUUCGGUCCUGAUGGAACCACAGACCACAAAAGGUUGUUGUGGUGGUUGUCUGUCCUCCUCUCCUUCCAUCCAUCCAUCCAUCCCUCCUUCCCCUCCUCUCCCCUCCUAUAUCCCUUACCCACUGCACUACCUCUUCUCUGUACCUCCCUCCCUCCUGUAACAGGACAGGGCUUGGUUGGCCUGGUGCCCGGCUGGCUGGCUGGCUGGCUGGCUGGCUGAGACAAAUGGCCCAGUCUGGCUGGGACUGGGGAUGGCGGGCGGGAUGGAGGGAGGGAGGGAGAGAGGGAGGGAGGGGUCCUAGGGUGUGGGGAAGUGUGCUGGGGCAUUGAUUUGCUAUUCCAAUGAUCCCUGCUUACAGUGAAUUACACUUGGCUGUACUCAGGCUUAAGUGUGUAUAAAUAAUCACCCAGAUUUGCCAGAUAAUGUAUUGUCCACAUAACAAAAUUACCAAGCCUCUGUCUGCUCCCCCAAAACAUCAACAAUAAAACAGUAAUAAAAGUGCAGUGCAUUACGACUGGAUGGGAAGUUCCAUCGUGUAUAGCUGUUUUUGACACACUUGAGUUGAAAAGGCACAGUGAGAUACUUAACAGUUAGUUCAAGUGAUGACCUUGGUAAAAAUUCUGUUGAUGCAGAAUUUUUGUAUUUUCUUUUUCUUACUCUCCGGAAUUUCCCUUUUCUCUUUUGAGUGUAUCACUUUAUUUUUCAUUUGGAUUGUUUCUCCUCCGUUUGCCAGCCCCUCAAUUUAGGGUGGGCAUUCUUUCUUUACAUCUUUCACAAGUGAAUGUAGAGUAAGAACUGUCAGACCAAGCACACAUAGCUACAAAACAUUGUAAUGUUUGUGUGAAUAUUCAAGAGAGAAGUGAGCUGCAUUUGGCAGGUAAAGCGAUAGGGACUCAAGCCGUAGUACUAAUGUGAGUGUAAUCUUCUCUACACAGCACUAUAUAUCAUACAGCCUGUGUGUUUGCGAAUAGGCCCCUAUGGAGCAAGAGGCAGAGAUUAGAGCAGGAGAGGCAUGUUUAACACAAUGAGACACAGAGACAGCAGCCAAACACACACGUACACACACACACACACACACACACAUACACAAACACACACACGCACACAUACACAAACACACACACAUAAACACACACACACACACAGCACUUUAUCAGUCUGGAUGAUGCCAGCCGAGCAGCAGGGGAAAACGGCAGCGGAGGAGAGAGAGAAAAGGAGAGGAGGAGAGGAGAGGAAGAGGAGAGGAGGAAAGGAGGAGAAGAGGAGGAGAGAGGGAGAGCUUGGGGUUUACCUGGUGCCAGGGUAAUUGCUUUGGCAACUGCCACUGUAAUCACACUAAAAAGCUGCCUCUGGAUCUUCAUUUGAAAAUGCAGAAAGGAGCAAGAUCAAAAGAGGGACGAAGGGGUGAGGUAGAAGUGGAGAAUAAGAGAAGGGGAGAGAGAGGGGACAUAAACAGGUAAGGGGUGAGGUAGAGGUGGAGAAUAAGAGGAGGGGGAGAGAGAGGGGACAGAAACAGGGAAGGGGUGAGGUAGAGGUGGAGAAUAAGAGGAGGGGGAGAGAGAGGGGACAGAAACAGGUAAGGGGUGAGAUAGAGGUGGAGAGUAAGAGGAGGGGGAGAGAGAGGGGACAGAAACAGGUAAGGGGUGAGGUAGAGGAGGAGAAUAAGAGGAGGGGGAGAGAGAGGGGACAGAAACAGGUAAGGGGUGAGGUAGAGGUGGAGAAUAAGAGGAAGGGGAGAGAGAGGGGACAGAAACAGGGAGAAAGUGGGAAAACAAGACAGGAGAAAGAUACGGAUGAGAAAAGGUGCAAAGACAACAGGAAGAUGGAUGAGUGAACCUAAACGACGUCAGUAGGCAAUUAAUUAACAGUGUGUGUGUGUGUGUGUGUGUGUGUGUGUGUGUGUGUGUGUGUGUGUGUGUGUGUGUGUGUGUGUGUGUGUGUGUGUGUGUGUGUGUGUGUGUGUGUGUUAACAACAGAUAGAGGUGUGUUUGUGUCUGGUGAUAAUCAACCUAUCCUCGUGUCAGACACCAGCAACACUAAUCACAUACAACACUAACUAAUGGAAAGAUACAGAGAGGAAGCUGGCGGGGGGAAACCUACAGCCUGAUAUUCUAGUACGCUAAACAAUAAACCAAGAUCAAAGUAAAUUGGUUCUCCUUGAAGGAAAGGUUCUGUCUGCAAAGGAAGGGUUUUCCUUCCUGUCGGUAUUAUUCCCAUGUCAGAACUGUUGAGGGGAUGACUAUGAAUGUCUUGUCCUUCUAACCUGAGAAUAGAGCCCCCUCCUCUGACCCCAUCUGUUGUCUUUGACUGAGACAUUAAGUUCCAGGCACAUCGUUGCCUUGUUUUGUAUCACAUUCCCCACAUCCCCAGUGAAAGUUGCACCCUUGAUAUAAUGAGUCUGCAGCACUAAAUAGAUGUAUUGAUGGCAUUGAUUUGAUAGGUCAUUCAACAAAUCUUACAGGUUGUUUAAUAGCUGCGUUAAGGUUAUGGUGGUAAGUUAACCCCAAACAACAGCAUGGAGACACCCUACACUUCCAUGUAGGUAUUUCAAGGUUGACAUCGUUCUCUAAACAAAAAUACAGCUCACUCUAAGAUUAAAUAGGGAAAAACGACAUUUAAAAAGUCCUAAACAGAAAUUUAAACACACAAUCCUAGACAGCUUUUCUCUCUGGAGGCUCAUAUGAGCUCCCCAAACCAAGACUGCUCUGAAGUGAGUUAGCU
rnacentral:lncRNA from 1 species